GGGGACUCAACUUUACAUUUUAUUUGUCUUAAUUUAUUUAAAUUUAAAUGUCCACCUCCGGCAGGUGGGUACAUUGCACGGGGCAGGUAACCGGGAAAUUCUGGUCACUUCCUCGUGUGUUGGCCACAAUUCUCUGAUGCAGAAAGAAGUUCCCAGCACCUCGGUGACACCAUCGCCCUCCGUUCUCACUCAGUUCUGGGGGACAGACAGCAUUUCUGGGGUGGCAAAUGUAUGUGGUCAGACAAAUGUGAGGAUGUUGAUUAGUAAUGGAAUUAUUUUUAAAAAGCAAAAUUCAGAAUGCACAAGGUCUCCCUGAGAGGCCAGGCUCCCUGCCCUGCCCCGCCCUGCCCCUGUCUGCCCCGCCCCACCCCCGUCUGCCCCACCCCCAUUUGUCCCACCCUGCCUCCACCUGCCCCACCCCUGCCUGCCCUGCCCCCUGCCCUGCCCCGCCCCCCAAUCCUGCCGCCAUCCCCAGAGCCCCAGUGUGGGAGAGGGUGCAGGUGCCGUGAGCACCAGGUGCCACCUGUGCUCCCACCGCCAACCUGCCAAGACCACAGCCAUCACCACAGCACCAACCAAAGUCUCUCCUGCUAGGCGCUGCCUCACUGCCACCUGUGGGUGCCUUUCUCAGUGUGGCAGUCCCUGGGCACUGUGCCCGCCAGACUCCUCAGAGACUGGUGCCAGGAGCAGCCUCCACAGCCCUCUCAGCAGCCCUGAGCUCUGACACCCUGCCCGGGCUCCUACCUUGGGGCCUGGUCUCUCGGGGCCUCCUCAGCUCUGCCAGGAGGGGCCGGGGGCAGGUUGGGGGCUAACCUGGGGCUAGAGGACCGGUGUGGUCUCCACCUGUCCGCUAGGCUGUGGCCUCUGGGCCCUUUUCAAACUGGAGAAACCCCAGAGUGACCAGCUCAGCCCAGUUUGCUGAGGACCGUCCUAGUUUUCACAUGGAAAGUCCUGGAUCCUGGAGACUCCCUUGGUGCUGGGUAAAGCAUGCCAGCUCAGCGCAGGGAGGGGCGGAGGGCCAGCCCAGUCUUGUCUGCUUGCCUCUGGGCACAUUCUGGACGGCCCACUCCUGUCCCCGGCACUGCAGAGGGAAGGAGCGCCUGCGCCUGGCCAGCACCUUCCUGUGCUUUGGGAGUUGGCCUCACGCCGCCACCACGGAGCUGCUUUUCCUGCCCCUGGGGUGAGGCCGAGAUCGCCCAGGGGCUGCCACUGUGCCAGUAUGCUGUCACCGUGCCAGGAUGCCAUCACUGUGCCAGGAUGCCAUCCUGCUGUCACCUCUGCCUCAAGUCUCAGGCUGUAGGGGCAUCUCCACCCAUGCAGCCAUCUUCACCCAUGCAGCUAGCUCUCCCCUCUCCUCAGGGCUGAGCUGAUCCAGCAGGGCUGAGGACAUGGGUAGGGAUGGGCCACUUGCUCACAGGUCUGUUUGAACACUGCAGAGGAGGAACCCAGAGAGGGGGUCUCCCUGGGACCAGUGACUGGAGAGUGGGCGGACCUGGGAGGGGCAGCUCUGGGUGCUCAGCUUCUCUGAGGAAUCUGAGGACAAGGUUCUAGUCCCCAAAGUACUCGGAGGCUGAGAGCUUAUUAUGUGAGCUGCCCGGGUGGAGGCUAGGACUCAGAGGGUUUCACUUCAC
ensembl:lncRNA